rnacentral:rRNA from 1 species
AACGAACGCUGGCGGCAUGCCUAACACAUGCAAGUCGAACGAGACCUUCGGGUCUAGUGGCGCACGGGUGCGUAACGCGUGGGAACCUGCCUUUAGGUUCGGAAUAACUCAGAGAAAUUUGAGCUAAUACCGGAUAAUGUCUUCGGACCAAAGAUUUAUCGCCUUUAGAUGGGCCCGCGUUGGAUUAGCUAGUUGGUGGGGUAAAGGCCUACCAAGGCGACGAUCCAUAGCUGGUCUGAGAGGAUGAUCAGCCACACUGGGACUGAGACACGGCCCAGACUCCUACGGGAGGCAGCAGUGGGGAAUACUGGACAAUGGGGCGAAAGCCUGAUCCAGCAAUGCCGCGUGAGUGAUGAAGGCCUUAGGGUUGUAAAGCUCUUUUACCCGGGAUGAUAAUGACAGUACCGGGAGAAUAAGCCCCGGCUAACUCCGUGCCAGCAGCCGCGGUAAU